UUUUUACAUUCAUUUUUAUUAAUUGCAAUCUGAGGGAACUGCCCGACAACCCAAGCUGAAAGUCCAGAGAGUUUGGCUCACACGCCCUAUAUUUAACCCUGUAACUUUCCAGGCUACCAUAAAACCUAUACAUGGGGGUACUGUUUUACUCUGGAGACUUCCCUGAACACAAAUAUUAGUCUUCAGUAAAACAUCACAACAAUGAUAUAUCAUCAGUAAAAAUGCAGUUUUUUGCAUUUUUCACACACAAACUGUACUUUCACUGACAAUAUUGUUGUGAAAUGUUUUACUAUUUUUAAACACAAUAUUUGUGUUUAGCGAUAUCUCCCGAGUAGAAUAGUACCCCACAUGUACAGGUUUUAUGGAGUUUUUUUUUUAUUGAGUUUGAAAUUUGACAGAUUGGUCAUGUUGCCUUUGAGACCGUAUGGUAGCCCCGGAAUGAGAAUUACCCCCAUGAUGGCAUACCAUUUGCAAAAGUCGACAACCCAAGCUAUUACAAAUGGGGUAUGUUCAGUCUUAUUUUAGUAGCCACUUAGUCACAAACACUGGCCAAAAUUAGCGUUCAAUUUAGUUAUUUGCAUUUUUCUUACAGAAAAAAUAUGAAUGCUAACUUUGGCCAGUGUUUGUGACUAAGUGGCUACAAAAAAAGACUGGACAUAUCCAUAAUUUUUAUUCCUGGACAACCAUGCGCUCUGAAAGGCAACAUAUAACCAAUCUGGUGAAUUCCAAUGUGUAUAAACUGAAAAAUGUGCUAUAUUUGACCAUGUAACUUUCCAAAACACCAAAAAACCUGUACAUUGGGGGUGCUGUUUUACUCGUGAGAUAUCACUGAAUACAAAGAUGUGUAUUUUAUUGCAGUAACCGCUAACAGUAUUGUGACAUUCACAGUUAAAAUGCCAUGCAGAAC